GACGAACGCUGGCGGCGUGCUUAAUACAUGCAAGUCGAACGGAGCCUAGCCGGUAGUUUACUACAGGCGAAAGCUUAGUGGCGGACGGGUGAGUAACGCGUGGGCAAUCUGCCCCUAAGUCCGGGAUAACAGAGCGAAAGUUCUGCUAAGACCGGAUACUCUUCCUUGGUCGCAUGGCGGAGGAAGGAAAGGAUACGCUUAGGGAUGAGCCCGCGUCCCAUUAGCUAGUUGGUGAGGUAACGGCCCACCAAGGCGACGAUGGGUAGCCGGCCUGAGAGGGUGGACGGCCACACUGGGACUGAGACACGGCCCAGACUCCUACGGGAGGCAGCAGUAGGGAAUUUUCCGCAAUGGGGGAAACCCUGACGGAGCAACGCCGCGUGAGGGAAGAAGGUCUUCGGAUCGUAAACCUUUUGUCAUCGAGGACGAUAAUGACGGUACUCGAGGAGGAAGCCCCGGCUAACUACGUG
rnacentral:rRNA from 1 species